AUUGAACGCUGGCGGAAUGCUUUACACAUGCAAGUCGAGCGGCAGCGCGGGGCAACCUGGCGGCGAGCGGCGAACGGGUGAGUAAUGCAUCGGAACGUACCCAGUCGUGGGGGAUAACACAGCGAAAGUUGUGCUAAUACCGCAUACGUCCUGAGGGAGAAAGCGGGGGAUCGCAAGACCUCGCGCGAUUGGAGCGGCCGUUGUCGGAUUAGCUAGUUGGUGGGGUAAAGGCCUACCAAGGCGACGAUCCGUAGCUGGUCUGAGAGGACGACCAGCCACACUGGGACUGAGACACGGUCCAGACUCCUACGGGAGGCAGCAGUGGGGAAUUUUGGACAAUGGGGGCAACCCUGAUCCAGCCAUUCCGCGUGAGUGAAGAAGGCCUUCGGGUUGUAAACUGCUUUUGUACGGAACGAAACGGCGAGCUCUAAUACAGUUUGCUAAUGACGGUACCGUAAGAAUAAGCACCGGCUAACUACGUGCCAGCCGCCGCGGUAAGAC
rnacentral:rRNA from 1 species